rnacentral:rRNA from 1 species
AGAACGAACGCUGGCGGCAUGCCUAAUACAUGCAAGUCGAACGAACUCUUCGGAGUUAGUGGCGCACGGGUGCGUAACGCGUGGGAAUCUGCCCCUUGGUUCGGAAUAACAGUUGGAAACGACUGCUAAUACCGGAUGAUGACGAAAGUCCAAAGAUUUAUCGCCAAGGGAUGAGCCCGCGUAGGAUUAGCUAGUUGGUGAGGUAAAGGCUCACCAAGGCAACGAUCCUUAGCUGGUCUGAGAGGAUGAUCAGCCACACUGGGACUGAGACACGGCCCAGACUCCUACGGGAGGCAGCAGUAGGGAAUAGUUGGACAAUGGGACGAAAGCCUGAUCCAGCAAUGCCGCGUGAGUGAUGAAGGCCUUAGGGUUAGUAAGCUUCGUUUACCGAGAUGAUAAUAGACAGUAGUCGGAAGAACUAACGGCCCCGGUACUUAAACCGUCCGUUACGCCCGAAGACCGACGG